UGGGGAAUAUUGGACAAUGGGCGAAAGCCUGAUCCAGCCAUGCCGCGUGUGUGAAGAAGGUCUUCGGAUUGUAAAGCACUUUAAGUUGGGAGGAAGGGCAGUAAGCGAAUACCUUGCUGUUUUGACGUUACCGACAGAAUAAGCACCGGCUAACUCUGUGCCAGCAGCCGCGGUAAUACAGAGGGUGCAAGCGUUAAUCGGAAUUACUGGGCGUAAAGCGCGCGUAGGUGGUUCGUUAAGUUGAAUGUGAAAGCCCCGGGCUCAACCUGGGAACUGCAUCCAAAACUGGCGGGCUAGAGUAGGGCAGAGGGUGGUGGAAUUUCCGGUGUAGCGGUGAAAUGCGUAGAUAUAGGAAGGAACACCAGUGGCGAAGGCGACCACCUGGGCUCAUACUGACACUGAGGUGCGAAAGCGUGGGGAGCAAACAGG
rnacentral:rRNA from 1 species